rnacentral:rRNA from 1 species
UACGGGGGGGGCAAGCGUUGUUCGGAAUUACUGGGCGUAAAGGGCUCGUAGGUGGCAACUAAGUCAGACGUGAAAUCCCUCGGCUUAACCGGGGAACUGCGUCUGAUACUGGAUGGCUUGAGUUCGGGAGAGGGAUGCGGAAUUCCAGGUGUAGCGGUGAAAUGCGUAGAUAUCUGGAGGAACACCGGUGGCGAAGGCGGCAUCCUGGACCGACACUGACGCUGAGGAGCGAAAGCCAGGGGAGCAAACGGG